CGGGCUAGCGGGCUACUGGGCUGCGGAGACCAGAGCCCGGCUCCACUGAAGAAACCCGCCGGCUGCUGGGGCAGGGCGGCGAAAGGUCAGUCGGCCGAGAGGAGUCCGUGGAGCCACCGUUUCAUAGCCUCAGGGAAAGGAUCGGGCGUGCUCACGAGCCCUCUAACCCAUGGCUUAAACACCCGCUUCCUAAGCCUGGCCUCUCAAGCACUGUGAAAAAUCACUUUCUCUUGUUGUAUUCUUGGAGCCCCUGCUAAUUCAUUAUUGAAAAAUACCUGCUGCCUGCAUUUGGCCUUAUGUUGUCAUUUACUUGGUACUUCCUAAGCGUGGCUACUCCAAUGAAGCUUUAGUAUAUGUACUGAAAGAAGAUCCUCUCAUACUGCCACAGCCAAGAGAUAAGGUUGUAAAUCUUUAUUGGGAGAAGCCGUCAAGGACAGUUCUGUGAAAUGAAAGGAUCUCUGGAUCACCACAAAGUCUGGCUCAGUGACUAUGGCUUUGCAAACACUAAACAUUCCUGUCUCAAGUCCUGUAGAUGGCUUGAAAUAGUAUACAUAAGCAUGCCUUAUAAACAUCUUCAGUCUUUAUCAACUCUUUGGAGAUUCAGCCAUUCUUUUUUGUACUUUAGGGAAUUAAAUCAUUUUAUAAUGUAUAAAUCUGAGCAUGGCCGAUGGCAGAAGAAAUUUUGUCAUACGUUUUUAAAGAAAUAAAAAUGUAUUAUGUUUUAAAAUUCCUUUAACUGUUUUUCUUACAAAAUUCCCAACAACUUAGUUACCAAGUAAACUAUCUCAGAUAUGAUUUUUCAGUCCUUGCUAAUCUAUUUAUAAAAUCUUUUGCUAUUUU
rnacentral:lncRNA from 1 species